AUGGCGUGGACCCCUCUCCUCCUCGGAUUUUUGGCUCACUGCACAGGCUCCAUGGCCUCCUACGUGCUGACUCAGCCCUCCUCGAUGUCGGUGAACCUGGGACAGACGGCCAGCAUCACCUGUCGGGGAGACAACAUUGGGAAUAAAUAUACUUCCUGGCACCAGCAGAAGCCAGGCCAGGCCCCCGUGACGAUUAUCUAUAAGGAUAACAAGCGGCCCUCAGGGAUCCCUGACCGAUUCUCAGGCUCCAACUCGGGGAACACGGCCACCCUGACCAUCAGCGGGGCCCGGGCCGAGGACGAGGCUGACUAUUACUGUCUGGCGGGGGCCAGCAGUGCUGAUGCUCACGGUGACACAGGCACAUGGGGAAGUGAGACACAAACCCCUUCCCCGUCUGUGUCACACUCUCCUCCAGCCCCAGGAGGCCUGUGCACAGAGCCAGGAGCAGCUCUGACCCUGGUCCCCUCAUCUGAGAUCCCCAGGCCUCCCCCCCAUCCAGCCCUCCAGGCAGCUCUGCACACGGAGGGUCAGGAGAGCAUUUACAGCUGA